GUGCCAGCAGCCGCGGUAAUACCGGCAGCCCGAGUGAUGGCCGAUCUUAUUGGGCCUAAAGCGUCCGUAGCUGGCUGCGCAAGUCCGUCGGGAAAUCCACUCGCCCAACGAGUGGGCGUCCGACGGAAACUGCACAGCUUGGGACCGGAAGGCUCGAAGGGUACGUUCGGGGUAGGAGUGAAAUCCUGUAAUCCUGGACGGACCGCCGGUGGCGAAAGCACUCUGAGAAGACGGCUUCGACAGUGAGGGACGAAAGCUCGGGUCUCAAACCGGAUUAGAUACCCGAGUAGUCC
rnacentral:rRNA from 1 species